UUUUCUCUUCUUUUAUGUAAUUAAUGUGGGUUGCUUCUCAAUCACAAAUUCCUCCAUCAUUUUAAAAUCUACAGACCUUUGAAAGAUUAUUCUCUGACUAUUCUUUCAGAGAAAUUAAAAUCUUACGCUAGCUUUACAAAAGCUUAAAAUGGAUAUAUUCUUUCAGCAACAAGACAUACUAUAAUUUAAACUUUUCUACUUAUAAAGAAACUUUUUAUGUCAAACUGUGAGUCAUGAUGUCACCAAAUCUUCCAACC
rnacentral:lncRNA from 1 species